rnacentral:misc_RNA from 1 species
GAAAUGCGAUAAUUAAUGUGAAUUGCAGAAUUCAGUGAAUCAUCGAGUCUUUGAACGCACAUUGCGCCCCCUGGUAUUCCGGGGGGCAUGCCUGUCCGAGCGUCAUUGCUGCCCUCAAGCACGGCUUGUGUGUUGGGCUUCCGUCCCUGGCAACGGGGACGGGCCCAAAAGGCAGUGGCGGCACCAUGUCUGGUCCUCGAGCGUAUGGGGCUUUGUCACCCGCUCCCGUAGGUCCAGCUGGCAGCUAGCCUCGCAACCAAUCUUUUUAACCAGGUUGACCUCGGAUCAGGUUGGGAUACCCGCUGAACUUAAGC